AGGGUUUGAUCCUGGCUCAGGAUGAACGCUAGCGGCAGGCCUAACACAUGCAAGUCGAGGGGCAGCGGGAUUGAAGCUUGCUUCAAUUGCCGGCGACCGGCGCACGGGUGCGUAACGCGUAUGCAACCUACCCAGAACAGGGGGAUAACACCGAGAAAUUGGUACUAAUAUCCCAUAAUAUCAUGAAGGGCAUCCUUUAUGGUUGAAAACUCCGGUGGUUCUGGAUGGGCAUGCGUUGUAUUAGCUAGUUGGUGAGGUAACGGCUCACCAAGGCAACGAUACAUAGGGGGACUGAGAGGUUAACCCCCCACAUUGGUACUGAGACACGGACCAA
rnacentral:rRNA from 1 species